GACGAACGCUGGCGGCGUGCUUAACACAUGCAAGUCGAACGGAAAGGCCCUGCUUUUGUGGGGUGCUCGAGUGGCGAACGGGUGAGUAACACGUGAGUAACCUGCCCUUGACUUUGGGAUAACUUCAGGAAACUGGGGCUAAUACCGGAUAGGAGCUCCUGCUGCAUGGUGGGGGUUGGAAAGUUUCGGCGGUUGGGGAUGGACUCGCGGCUUAUCAGCUUGUUGGUGGGGUAGUGGCUUACCAAGGCUUUGACGGGUAGCCGGCCUGAGAGGGUGACCGGCCACAUUGGGACUGAGAUACGGCCCAGACUCCUACGGGAGGCAGCAGUGGGGAAUAUUGCACAAUGGGCGGAAGCCUGAUGCGGCAACGCCGCGUGCGGGAUGACGGCCUUCGGGUUGUAAACCGCUUUCGCCUGUGACGAAGCGUGAGUGACGGUAAUGGGUAAAGAGGCACCGGCUAACUACGUG
rnacentral:rRNA from 1 species